rnacentral:misc_RNA from 1 species
AACCAUAGAAACCUGCGGAGUACCUGCGGAAGGAUCAUUAAAAAGAGUGUGUACCCCCCUGUAAAAUGGGUGGGUUACCUCCCGUCCUUUGUUGACCUCUUAGGAGGUUAUUUUGAACUUUUCUGCUUCGGUGGGGUUAAACCUACCGGAACACCCUCAAAUUCUGAUCAUUUAAAAAUUGUUCAGUCCGAUUUUUGUUAAUAAAAACAAAAAACUUUCAGCAACGGAUCUCAGAUCGGA